AAAGUCGUAACAAGGUAACCGUAGGUGAACCUGCGGUUGGAUCAUUACAAAAUUGGUAUCUUACCAAACAUUGUGUGCACCAUAACUGUUCUUGGCAGUGUAUUGUUUGAGUCAGAUGGCUGGAUCCUUGAGGAUCGAUUCCUCCUUUCGGGGGGGUUUCCGAGUCCAAGGUUGAAGGCCACACCUGGCCCAAGGCAAUCUCUGCCGCCUAUCUAAACAUUGUAUUUAAAACAUUUAGUCUGAAUCAGUUCACCAACAAAGUGAAAUGAAAAACAACUUUUGACAACGGAUCUCUUGGCUCUC
rnacentral:misc_RNA from 1 species